rnacentral:rRNA from 1 species
UACGUAGGGUGCAAGCGUUAAUCGGAAUUACUGGGCGUAAAGCGUGCGCAGGCGGUUGUGCAAGACAGAUGUGAAAUCCCCGGGCUCAACCUGGGAAUGGCGAUGAAGACUGCAAGGCUAGAAUCUGGCAGAGGGGGGUAGAAUUCCACGUGUAGCAGUGAAAUGCGUAGAGAUGUGGAGGAACACCGAUGGCGAAGGCGGCCCCCUGGGUCAAGAUUGACGCUCAUGCACGAAAGCGUGGGGAGCAAACAGG